GGUUAAGAAUAAUUGUAUGAUGUGAAAAGGUUCAAGUUUGGGGUUGUUGGGGAAAAUUGCAAAACAAAGGAAAGACAUUGAACUCAAGUGUUGAAAAAGAAAAGUGCAUGAGAAAAGAAAAAGCAUGAAAGAUGAGCUCAAUGUAAAAAUAAAAGAAAAGGGAAGAAGUUGGGAAUGAGUGAGAUUGGUGAAAAAGAGAGUUUGUACUUGAACUUUGAAUGUUAAAAUAACUCUCUUGACUCAAGGAUUUUAUGAUGGCCCAGCCUCAUUAUAAGCCUUGGAAAAUUCCUUGUGAUGACAUUUGCAUGUGAGAAUUUUG
rnacentral:lncRNA from 1 species